rnacentral:lncRNA from 1 species
GUCUGGUGGAAAGAGUGGCAAAAAGAAGUAACAACAAUUAAUUUCUUGAAUUUAUUUUCAUGUUUAGUAUUAGUGUUAUUGCUAGUCUUUCUUUUUAAUUGUUGUUUUUGUACUAGUACCUUUUAGUGGAAUCUGGUGGAGGGCUUUCAAUUCUUGAAAUGUGUAAUGCGUUGAUAUGCCUAUAGCCUGGCUAUGAACAUUACUCUGACUAUAAAGUGCAGUUUUUUGCUCAAAGUUACAUAAUUCGCAGUAGUUUUUUUAAUACUUUUUUUCGGUUAUGGAUUUUGACAUCCGAUUGAGUACUAUAUGGGGUAAAAAUUUGGAAGCAUUAGUCUGUAAGUUGCCAUUGCAAAUAUUUCAUAUUAUCUUUAAGCGAACUGCAGAUAUUGUCUUAUUUGUAUUAGAAGAGCUCGCAUGCUUGUCUGUUUCUAGAACUGUGAGAGAGAGAGAGAGAGAGAGAGAGUCAGUUUUAUGAGCUUGUAAUCCUCUAUUAAUUUAGUUAUAGAGCUAGCAUAUAUAGGAAAGAUGCAUUUAGCGGAAAAGUCUUGAUUCUAUAAGUUGUUCUUCUUUUUUUAUGGAGAUGGUUCUAAAAAUUAGGAAUUAUUCUUACAAAUUAGUAUGGAUAUAAAAUGCAGUUCGGAAUUUCAUUCAACAAGCACAGUUUGUAAUUUAGGGCCUUGCUGGUCUAAUUCAUGGGGUUACUCCUUUUUCUUCUGCAGAGGAUUGAUUUUAUUAUUCUACUUGUAAGUGGUUCAGGUACCUUUGUAUAUGUUAUUAGCACCAUUUAGAAGUGCUUGAAUUAUGAUGAAAAAUGUUAAGGGUGGCUGCUUGCAUCCUGUUUCAUUGAAAAAAGAUUAGUUUCUACACAUCUUGUGAUUGUCCCCCUUCCUUUACUGGAUUCACCCGUUUAAACUCAUGCCUAAUGAUUAUGGAAGGGUGGAUUUUAAUUUACUUGCAGCAGUCCAAGGAGUAACUACAUAUAGUACCCAAGUUUAAAGUUACACCGUUUAACAUGUCCUAAAAUGGGACCUACCCAUGAUAAAAUAUCUGUUUGGUUCAUUUGUCCACUCUGAAAUGGAAUUCAAUUUGCUUGUGAGUUUAUUUGAUAUGAAGGCAUAUCCUGACAAGGCUGGUCUAGGAAUGGUUAUCUGAACCAUGUUGAUAUAUGUUCUCUGAUUAACUAGUAUUUGCAGAAGAACAAUGUUUCCUAUCAAAUUUCAAUUUAAACUUUAGCAGGAUCAAAGUAUAGGAUUUAACUCAGGAUAAGAUGAGACUGUUCAUCAUACUGUUUUGACUGGUCAGUUGCUGGUUGCUUUUUGACCGUUGAGCUUGCUAAUUAGGUUCUAAACUGCUUUCACUUUGUGCAGUGCAGCAAAACAAGAUAUGCAAUGAAGUUCUGUCCUAAAACAAGCCAUAGCUAACUGCUGUCUUUGCAAUUUUCACAUAAUUAUCCCAGUUUUAUCUAGCCAUUAGAUUUUAGGCCAUGCUAGGAUUUUUAAGCAUUCUAUGGCUGAAUAUUCUUUUCUAGUAGGCAGAAUAUCUUUCAACCACUAAACUGAAGCUUCUUUUGAUACUAGUAUUUUAAAGUAAAUCCUGCUUUCUUCAAAUAUGCCUAGGGAACCCCUUUGUGAUUUUAUGGUCAAUAUGGGGUUUAUUUGACACAAAUGAAGUUCAUGAAAAUUCCAACAUGGAACUUCAUUUUCCAUUGAAAUGAUUUUGUGAAUCCAAUCUACUUCUUAGAAAGCCAUCAUAUUGGUUAUCCACAUUACUUUCUUUUGCUUUAAAGUGUAGUUUACAUGCUAUAUGGAUUGCAUAAUGACCAAGAAAUAUGAUCUCAGUCUUGCCAAGGCUGUUAAAACACCAAAACAGAGUAUUGGAAUGUGUCCAAAUGAACAGCUGAUUAUAAGUAGAAAAAUUGUAUUUUUGGUUGCUAUGGCAUCUAAAUCAUUUUCUCUUUUUCUGCGAAGGCCAUUAUUCUGAUUACUAAUGCAUUUUCCUGCUUAUGUACAUGGUAUCAAGCAGAUAACCAUUGUCCAUUGCAAUAAGAAGUACAUACAAUGUUUUCAAAGGAAUUUGUGAGAGUUUUUCUCAGUCUAGAAGGAGGCUGGAAUUCACUUAGCAGCCGUUUUGGUUUUUGUUAUAGACGGCAUAUGUUAUUUCUAGUAUUAUUUGGAGAUUUGGAACACUUGUUGCAAAGUGCAAAAACAUAAUUUUUUUUUAACUAUUGCCAGAGUUAAAGAGUUUGGAUGCUAAGUUUUCAUGCAUCAUAUCAAUGGGCUACCUUAGUUGUGGUAGAAGUCAUCUUUCCAUCGGUUGUCCUUGUUCUGUUACCUUCACUGUUCUGUUCCAUACGGUUUUGUAUCUGUCUCAUAAUCAUUUCCCAUGGUUCUUUACCUCUAGUUGGCUAGUAUAUUGAGUGAGCAUGAAUUCUAGUUUCUGCACCCUGCUGGUGAAAAUCUAUGUUCUUGCUCCUUUCACGCUUUAAGUGCACUUGAAGGCUGUGAGUUUGAAGAUGCCUGAAGGAUUUUGGAAGAUGUUUAUGACUGCCUCACGGGUGGUUAACAUUGUUGCUGGUUGUUCCUUAAUAGAUGCUGUUCUGGUCAGGAUUGUUUCCUGUUGCUCUUGUUGAGAUCGUGAAUGUAAAGUAAUCUUGUUGUUUGUUUAUAGAUUUAUUAAUGCUUAAUCUCUUGCUGCAAGUCAUUCCACUGACUUUCUUCCAAUUGGUGGACAAUUUUUAGAUUACGCCCUUCUCCAAAACAUUUAAUUAUUUCUUUUCACGCAUCCUUUUCAGAAAGAAGAACUACUUUCAUGAUAAAAUAUUUGAUAUCAUUCUUGGUGGCUGUGCUUGGUGCUUAUGCAUAAUCUGGCCAGAGCAAGCCUUAUGCAUAAAAUUUGGGUAAGAGCUAAGUCAACCACAUUGACAUAUCAACAGUAUAACAUAAAUAGUGGUGUUAAGCAAAUGAGUCGAUGAUCGACUUAGAAUGUGUAGAAUCAUAGAAAGUGCACACAUGUUAAGUCGAUAUGGUACUGUUCCUCAUAAUAUCUUUGUGGGUCUCUUGGUGGUUCCUCCAAAAGAUUUAGCGUGAUUUUGAGGUUGAGACUAGUUUCACUUUACUCGUGGUGAAAGGACAAGUUUCGCAUAAAUUAUAAUAUCGAAGGACAAGUUUCGCAUAAAUUAUAAUAUCGAACAAAUUAGACUUGAGCAAGCUGUUCUUGUUUGCUAGAGCUACAUUUUUCAAGUGAUUAAGGCUGACACUUAACAUUCAGCACUAUUUAGUUUCAUCCUGGUGUUCUGGGUGAAUAUUGAUGUUUUUGUGUUUUAGUUUAUGCUAUGCAAGUGUUUCAGCUUCUUAAUUGACUCAAUAAUUUUGAAUUAAGAAUGGCCUGUUGGCAACAAUUGUGGUACCAUCAUUAUUAUUCUUUUAUUUUGGUGAGUUUUGCUGUUGUAUAUGCUGGUAGCAUGUUAGAAUUUGUAUCUGAGUAUGGGAGCAACUUAAUGAGGAUGUCAAUGCAGAUCAUUUGUUCUGGAAUUCUGCUUUUGAUGUAAUGAGGUUUGGUUGUUCUCCUGCAUAAUUAUGUGUAUCUUGAGACCUGCUUCGGUAAUAUGCUCUGUAGGAAACAGAGAGCACCAACUAGGAUUGUGUUAACAAACUGACAGAGUCAGGUUGAGGUAUUCUCGAACAUUUAAAGUCGAGAGCAUCAAAGUGUGACAUUAAAUUUCGCUAUUAUCUCCUUAACAAAUCAUUGAGUUUCUCUCGGAUACAAAUCAGGUGCUGUUUUUUGGAUCUAGCAGUUCAAACCUCCAAAGUAAAUGCAGUGUACUGUCUUCAAGUCAACCACUGAUCUUAUACCAGCUAUCCUUUUCAUCUUGACCCGUAUUUCUUGAGUUAAGAGCUCACGGUUCUUUGCUUAGCACCAGUUCUUUUUUUGGUUAUUCCCUAAUUCGUCCCCUGUUUGCAUCGUCACUUGUGGAAUAGCGAUUACAGUAUUAGUCUGUUGUUAACUGGUUCAAAUGGAUCCAAAGGUUACCAUGAAAAUGAGGUAAUGCCAAAAGCUUCUAAUUCAAACAUGGUACCCGGGUUCAGAAAAAGUUUCACCGACCUUUCAGAAAAAACUGUAUAUAUGGAAGAGAUAACAGAAGGCGCAAACACUGGAAGCUUCAUUCUGUGGUAGUGGUAGUAGUUAAAGGAGCAUGUUAUGAAGCAAGACAAAGCUGUUCAAGCACCAAUUAGUUGAGUUUCAGUUUCCAGGUAAACUUAGUAUGAUAAUGAAGUUGACACACCAUAUGAAGUAUCAUUGCUGAAGCAGAUUGUGGUUCCUUUAGAUACUGUAUGCUGUACUAUUUGUAAGGGAGAAUGUGUAAUGUUUGUGGCUUUGGAGUCUUUUUGCUCAGCUGUUGAAUCGAAACCAUAGACGACAUCAAUUUCUUUGACUGGCUCUUUAUUGUAUUAGUUACAAAUUUGCAGAUCUUAUGCCAAUUGUAUUGUGCAUUAUUUUGAUGACGCUGCUUGAUUGGUAAGAAUUUUAUUGAAUCAUUCGGCUAAUUUGAAUACUCCUCAGUCAUGGCAAUUAAUGGAUGGUUUAGCACUUAGCAUAUUAUUAUUCAAGAUUAGGAGGACCUUGGUCUAAGUUAUGUCAUAAUCAGAUGUUUUAUCUGGAAGAACUAGGAAAUUUGAUUGUAUUAUAAAUCCAGUGACUGUUUUUAGCACUGGUGUUCAAGAUCUUGUGUGUGAUGCAAGAUAACCGGUAUCUCUCUCUCUCUCUCUCUCUCUCUCUCUCUCUCUCUCUCUCUCUCUCUCUGCCCUGUGAUUUGAAACAUUAAUAGUGUGUUUGGAUAGGAUGUUAUUUGGAAAAAAAUUUUGAAAUAAUAUUUUAGCACAUUUUGUGAUAUGAUAUAUGUAACAUAAAAAGAAAUUAAAAAAAAGUAAUUAAAAAAUAUGUUUAUGAUAUUAGGAAAAAAAAAAAAGAACUAGUGGUCUGGAUGUGAUAAUUUUGCUCAUCAAUCCUCUUUACUAGCAUGUCAGCCGAUUUUUUAUUGUCUUUUCGAGGAUAAUAAUGAGUGAUGAGUAAAUAAACAUAUAGAUGAAAGAGUAGAAUCAUCACUGUAACAACAAUGUUCAUUUUUUCUGUUGGGAAGCGAUGAAUGUAAAAUUGGAAUCCUCUAAAUUAUAAGUCUAAAGAAAAUAACCAACAAAAGAAACAAAUUAAUUUAAAAAAAGAAGCACAAAUUGUAGCAAAUAAGAUUGAAAGUAAUCGGUAUAUAUAUGGAGGAAGGUGAUAAAUGUAUAGAAAUAAAAAAAAAAAAAACAAAAUGAGCAUGCCAACAUAAAGAAAUCCAUGAAACCUUCUUGAUCACAGCUGUGUCAACUUUUGCAAUCAAUGGAGCCAAUAAUUGAAAUAUGCGUAUACUAUAGGGUUCUCAACGAUAAUUUACAUUGUAAUCUAUGAUGGGCCAUUUUCGUAAUAUAAAGAUAAUUUCAAUUUUUUAGCAAUGCAUUUUUUUGCACCUUGGAUGUCUUUUAUUUUCUUUUUCUAUGCAUUUCAAAAAUUUCACGUGACUAAACUUCAACAUUUAUUUUCUGGAAAUAAUAAUUGUUCAAAGUUUUGUUCCAAGUAUUUAUAGGAAAAGUAGAUCGACCAACAUACAAAUUAGACUAGAAAACGUUAAAGAAUAUUUUAUUGCAAAACUAAAGCACCUAUACUUUGUAGUUUUUUAUUUUAUGAAUGAGGAUACUCAAUGAUAGUCUUUACCAAAACUUUUAUGUUUGUUACAAAGAGGAUAAUUGAUGAUGAUAAUUUUUGGCAAAACAUUUAUGUUGUCUGUUGCUUAGGCUUAAAGUUCUUUUGGGCAAUUAACUCCAAUGAAUUACUGUCUAAUCUGAUCUCCCAGAUAGAACUACUAAUUUGAAUACAUUAUUUCUAUUGUUUGCUUUGUACUUUAUUAUUGGUUUCUAUUGUUUUCUUGAUAAGCUUGACUUAUUUCAACCAUAUCGAUUAUAUUGUUUGAUUGAUAUCCGCAACUAAUUCUUGUUACUUACUUUAAGACAAUAUAAAUAUCUAUAUCUAUAUCUGCAUGUAUUAGAGGGUAAGGUUUUAUGAGGAGUCUCCACAAACAUAAAAAUUUGAAUCCCUUUUUAUUACAAUUUUAGAUUUAUUUUCAUUCAUUAAUUUUUAUUGCUUCCCCUUAUCCCUUCCUAUUUUCCAAUUUACGAGACCCACUAAUUCACAAAAUCAAAACUCCAAAAUUUUAACUAACAGAUAAUAACUACCCUUGCAAAAUCACAUUUACAAAUCCCAAAUCAUGUCUGACGUCUAACACUUACCACACGACUGAUCACAUCUGCAAAUCUCAAAUCACGUCUAACAUUUUACCCUUACAAUCAUUCAUAAAACUAGUGAUCACUAACCCAUUUUCAUUUGUCAUCCAAACAAACCAAAUAUGCUUAGGAAAAAACGAAAGACUGCGUAUCAUGCUCUCACCAUGGAUGAAUCCUACCUACAAGCAUUUCAACUACGUCUUACUUCCAAACUUGCAAGAUUGCAAAGCAGAAAACAACUGAUCACAAAACAAAACCUAUACCGUAGUGAUCCCACUGAAAUAUUUCAAAAGGUUUAACAAGUUCACUUCCAAGAAAGAUAAGUCUCACUGAAUAUUCUUUUGUAGUACGAACUCCACAAAAUUCUGAUACGAAAUAUGGGCCGCUUAUGGGCCAUGUUUUGGGUUGCAAGAGACUGAAUCUUUUAGUAAUAGUUAGUAGUUUAUUUUCUAGAUUUCUAUUUUAUUUGCUAGGAAUAAAUUCGGUCCAAGACCUCAUGUUGAUUUGGAUCCGAUUUAUAGAGUCUAGGCUCACUAUAACUUAAGUUGGUUAAUUAGCUUUUAUUGGGUUAUGUUGGGCCAGCUUAAAGCCUUCAUUGGAUCGAUUAUAAGCUGACCAUUAGAUAGUGGAUUUGAGUAGUGGAAUCGGGCCAAAGGCCUAGCCUAGCCGAGUUAGGUUUUCAAGUCACUUUAGGUUUUCAAGUUGUAUGGCUAUAUAUAGCCAAGGCAAGAGACCUUCAUAGGCGGUUUUGAAGAUCAAUAAAAUUGUGAGUUUUCACUUUUCUCUUUCCAAGAGAGCCUCUUUGAAUAUUUGAGAAUCUUUCUCAAGUUAUUCAAGUGAACUUAUCAAUCAAGUAACUCCUUGGUUGUGGCGUUCCUCUACCUAUAGUUUGGUUCGCUAAUUCAUUAGUUAACGGGUUGAGAUAAUAUCAAUAGUGUUCGUUAUCACGGGGAUUAGAUUUGGGUCAAAUUUCCGCUGCUAAACCGUUGGUGAUUCGUUGUCUAGAUCGCGUCAAGUGAGUAUCACAUCAAAUUCAACAGAGUCAAUUAAACCACCAAUAUUGAAUUUCAUACUAAAGGUUGAUUGGUGUGAAAUAUGUUUGCACAUUCGUACAAAAUUAUCAAAGCGAAUGUAUAAUGUUUAUAAGUAUUUCAUUUUGAAAUCAAAUAAAACAUCUAAUUACAUUCAUUUUCUAAUAUAAAUUUCUAUUAGUAUUCCAAGAUCUAUCUUCCUCAAAAAUGCAAUUCUUGAAUGAUGUACACAUUUUAUCAUUGAACUACUGCUAGACAAAUCUUAGAUUUUAAUUGUGUUGGUAUAAUUUUUUUUACUUUUUCUUUUUAAUUCACACUUUCUUUUAAUUUCUUUCAAUAAUGUAAACACCAUGCUUAACGCACAGGUAUUCACACUAGUUUACAUACUAAUGAAGGUGUGUGGAAUAUCUUGAGGGAAAACAACAGCACAUUAAUAAUCCAUUAUUAUCUACUAAACUGAUGUUGUCAAUGUACUCAUGAUUAAGAUUUUGAGGAGUAAUUACCAUGGAUUAGUGUCUAUAAAGAACUUUUAUAUGAGCAAAUCCAAUUACUAUGGAUUAAUAUUUCUUAUACCUAUAUAGAAUUUUUUUUUAAAAAUACAAGUCCAAAUGUAUGCGACAUGUGAAAAAGGACAUAACAGAUGUGCUUUGACAUUAUUACAUGUCAUGACUUGGUGGUGUAAACAAUUUGUUACACUGACAAUUUAAAAAAUAUCAAUACAUGAAAAAUGAGUAUAGGCAUAUAAUUAUGACCUUGUUUGGGAGCUGAGUUUUUUUGCCUAAUUUUUUUACUACUAGUUUUUUAAUAACUUUAACCACUAAAACCUCAAAAAAAAAA